rnacentral:rRNA from 2 species
ACCCAAUAAAGAAUUUUAGUUCAACUUUAAGCCUACCAUAAACUUUACUAACACAAAUGUAAGCUUAAAAUAUAGCCUAAAGAGGGACAGCUCUUUAGGAACGGAAACAACCUCUAAUAGUGAAUAAGACAAUCAAUCAACUAACCAUAGUUGGCUUAAGAGCAGCCAUCAAUAAAGAAAGCGUUCAAGCUCAACACUUAAUAGUACAUAAUACCCUAAAUAAAAUCUAUUUCCUAUCUUCAUAACUGGGUUAAUCUAUUAGCUAAUAGAAGCAAUACUGUUAGCAUGAGUAACAAGAAUAUUAUUCUCCACGCACAAGCCUAUAACAACCCGGAUAACCAUUGUUAGUUAACAAAUUAUAAGUACAUCACCCACUUAUAAAAAGUACUUAUUAUCCAAUGUUAGUCCAACACAGGUGUGCUAAAAGGAAAGAUUAAAAGAAAUAAAAGGAACUCGGCAAACAUGAAUCCCGCCUGUUUACCAAAAACAUAACCUCUAGCAUUAUAAGUAUUAGAGGCAAUGCCUGCCCAGUGACUAAGUUAAACGGCCGCGGUAUCCUGACCGUGCAAAGGUAGCAUAAUCACUUGUUCCUUAAUUAGGGACUAGUAUGAAAGGCUAAACGAGGGUUCAACUGUCUCUUAUUUCCAAUCAGUGAAAUUGACCUUCCCGUGAAGAGGCGGGGAUAUAAUAAUAAGACGAGAAGACCCUAUGGAGCUUUAAUCUCACAACUUAAUUUUAAUAACAAACAGUCUACUGACUUUAAAAAACUAAAUAUAAGUUGUAGAUUUCGGUUGGGGUGACCUCGGAGAAUAAAAAAACCUCCGAAUGAUUAUAACCUAGGCUUACAAGCCAAAGUACAAAAUAUAAUCUUAUUGACCCAAACUAAUUUGAUCAACGGACCAAGUUACCCUAGGGAUAACAGCGCAAUCCUAUUCAAGAGUCCAUAUCGACAAUUAGGGUUUACGACCUCGAUGUUGGAUCAGGACAUCCCAAUGGUGUAGCAGCUAUUAAAGGUUCGUUUGUUCAACGAUUAAAG